CAGCACCUCAAGUGGUUAGGAUGAUUAUUGGGCCUAAAGCAUCCGUAGCCGGCGCUGUAAGUUUUCGGUUAAAUCUGUACGCUCAACGUACAGGCUGCCGGGAAUACUGCAGCGCUAGGGAGUGGGAGAGGUAGACGGUACUCGGUAGGAAGGGGUAAAAUCCUUUGAUCUAUUGAUGACCACCUGUGGCAAAGGCGGUCUACCAGAACACGUCCGACGGUGAGGGAUGAAAGCUGGGGGAGCAAACCGGAUUAGAUACCCGAGUAGUCC
rnacentral:rRNA from 1 species